GUGGGGAAUCUUCCGCAAUGGACGAAAGUCUGAUGGAGCAACGCCGCGUGAGUGAAGAAGGUUUUCGGAUCGUAAAGCUCUUUCGUUAGGGACGAACGUGCUCUUUGUGAAUAAUGAGGAGUAAUGACGGUACCUAAAUAAGAAGCCACGGCUAACUACGUGCCAGCAGCCGCGGUAAUACGUAGGUGGCAAGCGUUGUCCGGAAUUAUUGGGCGUAAAGCGCGCGCAGGCGGGAUAUCAAGUCUGUCUUAAAAGUGCGAGGCUCAACCUCGUGAGGGGACAGAAACUGGUAUUCUUGAGUGUCGGAGAGGAAAGUGGAAUUCCAAGUGUAGCGGUGAAAUGCGUAGAGAUUUGGAAGAACACCAGUGGCGAAGGCGACUUUCUGGACGAUGUCUGACGCUGAGGCGCGAAAGCUAGGGGAGCGAACGGGAUUAGAAACCCCAGUAGUCC
rnacentral:rRNA from 1 species